rnacentral:rRNA from 1 species
CCCCCUGGGAAGUCCUCGUGUUGCACCCUU